GUGGGGAAUCUUGCGCAAUGGGCGAAAGCCUGACGCAGCCAUGCCGCGUGGAUGAUGAAGGUCUUAGGAUUGUAAAAUCCUUUCACCGGUGAAGAUAAUGACUGUAGCCGGAGAAGAAGCCCCGGCUAACUUCGUGCCAGCAGCCGCGGUAAUGCGAAGGGGGCUAGCGUUGCUCGGAUUUACUGGGCGUAAAGGGCGCGUAGGCGGACAUUUAAGUCAGGGGUGAAAUCCCGGGGCUCAACCUCGGAACUGCCUUUGAUACUGGGUGUCUUGAGUAUGAGAGAGGUGUGUGGAACGCCGAGUGUAGAGGUGAAAUUCGUAGAUAUUCGGAAGAACACCAGUGGCGAAGGCGACACACUGGCUCAUUACUGACGCUGAGGCGCGAAAGCGUGGGGAGCAAACAGGAUUAGAAACCCCUGUAGUCC
rnacentral:rRNA from 1 species